rnacentral:miRNA from 14 species
AAAUUUGAAUUUCAGGUAAAACAAAGAAUAGCUUUUUAGUGUUAAGUAGGUUCCAUGCAACAUUUGGGACAUACUUAUACUAAAAUUAUU